rnacentral:rRNA from 1 species
AUACGUAGGUGGCGAGCGUUGUCCGGAAUUAUUGGGCGUAAGGAGCGCGUAGGCGGGUAGAUAAGUCUGUUUUAAAAGUGCGGGGCUCAACCCCGUGAUGGAAUGGAAACUGUUUAUCUUGAGUGCCGGAGAGGAAAGUGGAAUUCCCAGUGUAGCGGGGAAAUGCGUAGAUAUUGGGAGGAACACCAGUGGCGAAGGCGACUUUCUGGACGGUGUCUGACGCUGAGGCGCGAAAGCCAGGGAAGUGAACGGGAUUAGAUACCCCGGUAAUCCUGGCCGUAAACGAUGGGUACUAGGUGUAGAGGGUAUCGACCCCUUCUGUGCCGGAGUUAACGCAAUAAGUACCCCGCCUGGGGAGUACGGCCGCAAGGUUGA